GGUGAUCUGGAAAUCAGGAUAUGCACCCUAGCCGAAGGUGGCUAAAAUUCCAGAGGAGCUGGGAAAGCUUUACAGCUGGGGAAUAAUGGUGGAAUCAUUUUGCCUGGGAAAAGGCUUGGAAAGAACAAGCACAUAUGAGGAAGAGGCCUUGCAAAAGAGGAGCAUCCUUGGAGGGAGUUGGCACAGCAGUCUUUCAGCUGCAUAAAGAUUUAUGGAGCAAAGGGGCUGCAGGGAUGGCCUUUGUAAGCAGAGCCCAGUAUCUGUGCCAUAUCAGAUCAAAUCCAGCUUCAGCUGCUUCAACGGGGACUUGCUGUUGCCAGAGAUGAGACAGACAAGAGUGGUGCUGAUUGUUCCUCUGUGAGAGCAGAUGGAAGAAAGGAAAAACUGCUGCAUGACAGCCACUGGGAGAGGAGUGAGGACACAUGAGAGAAGCAGCCUGCACCCACCAAGGUCAGUGCAGAAUGAGGGCAGGAGGUGCUUCAGGUGCAGAGCAGAAGCUCCUGCAGCCCAGGAGAAGCCCAUGAUGGAGCAGGCUGUCCCCCUGCAACCCAUGGGCACUUUGCAGAGCAGAUCUCUACCUGCAGCUGUGGAGGGGCCCCGAUGCAGCAGGUCGUCUGGGAAUGCUGCUGCCCAUGAGGGACCUGUUCUGAAGCAGUGCCUGAAAUGUAGCCCUGUAGUAUGGAGCUGUGUUGGAGUACUAUUUGGAGAGUUGCAGCUUGUGAGAAGCCCAUGCGGGAUCAACUGGGAAAGGGAUGGCAUCCCAUGGGAAGGACCCUUGUGAAGCAGGGAGAGCCACCACAAAGGAUCAGUCAAGAUGAAGCACUACGAACUGGCCACAGCACCCAUGCUUUGCUUCUCUGUUCUGCUAGGGGGCAGGCUAUAGAAAAGGGUGAAAAGCUUGCUUUUAAUUUCUUACCGUCUUGGCUAUUAGCAACACGUAAGAUAUUGAAAUAAUCUCAUUUGACUGCAUAUGUUUUGACAGUGUUGGUGAGUGAUCUCCCUAUCUUUCUCUCAGUCCUUGAGCUCAUCAUAUAUUCUCCUUAAUACAUUUAGCAAGAGGAAUGACAGAGCAGCAUGGUGGAACUUUGCUAUCUGCAGGUGUGAAGCCAUUAUACUAUCCAGAAAAGGUUUGUAAGAAAAGUCAACAUUUCUUUUCUGAUUAUUUCUGAAACUGGGCAAGUUUUUGCCCCUCUUUGCUUCACAGCAGUGUUCUUUCACUUUGGCAAGAGAAAAUGGAGAUAAAUGAAAGAAUAGUCUUCACACCCCUGUGAAAACUAUCUAUCCGUUUCCCUCCCGAAGGUAAAGGAGAACCUAAGAGCAGUUUAGCCAGGUUAGAUCACUUAGCCAACAUCCUCUCUCAGUCUCAGUGGAAAAAAUGUGAAAGCGGAUCCUGAACAGCAAUGAUUAUAUAAAGGACGAAUGUUGUUCACCUGUGGGUUAAAGUCUAGCUUCUGUGGAAGGAAAAGAGAACCAACAUCUCUGUCCUCACCAGUCUGCCCAGGUUUUUCUGAUGCUUCCAAGUAUAUUAUCUAAAAUUUUGAGAUGAGAGCUGGUACUGUUGUAUCAGGAUGAUGAUGGAAAAAGUAGUUUUGUGAGGUUGUUCAUUUUAAUUGCUUGUUUUAGGGCUCCUGAGCUGAUACUUUUAGAGCACUGAAUCUGAUGGCUGCAAGAUUCUUGUUCCUGACUGAUAAUCAGCACUUCAGAGAAAAAUGUUUGUGGACAAAGUUAAGAUUGCUUUUUCUCCAUGUGCUGUAUUCUACAUUUAUCUACGCUAAAUUUCUUGUGUCACCUUACUUCCCAGGCACUUGGGCUUGUAACUUGGAUGUCUAUAGUGAGAUCUCUUCAUAUUCUCUUAUAGGAUUUCACAUCAUAGCAUUUCCCGUAAUAAACCAGAAGUUUUCUUGGGAGUGAAGAGACCUGUUUGUUGCAUGUCUUUUUUUCUGGUUUGGCUAAACACUUUGAAGAGUAAUUAAUGGGGGAAGACAACAGUUAGAGAAUUUUACAGAUUCUAAUGUUACUUCAUGAUUAAAACAAAGACAUCAAAAUCUCACAUGCUGUUUUCUGUCUGUUAGAGAAUCA